rnacentral:lncRNA from 1 species
AUGGCGAAAUGCACCAAGAAAGUUGGAAUCAUGGGCAAAUACACCACCCGUUAUGGUGCCUCCCUCAGGAAAACAGUGAAGAAAACUGAAAUCAGCCAGCACGCCAAGAAUACCUGCUCCUUCUGUGGCAAAACCAAGAAAGAGAUGAGCUGUGGGCAUUUGGUACUGUGGUUCCUGCAUGAAAACAUUGCUGGUGGUGCCUGGACCUUCACACCACUUCUCCUGUCACAGAAAAGUCUGCCAUCAGAAGACUGAAGGAAUUGAGGACCAGU